CCUACGGGAGGCAGCAGUGAGGAAUAUUGGUCAAUGGCCGAGAGGCUGAACCAGCCAAGUCGCGUGAGGGAUGACGGCCCUAUGGGUUGUAAACCUCUUUUGUAGGGGAGUAAAGCGAACCACGUGUGGUUUAUUGAAAGUACCCGAAGAAAAAGGAUCGGCUAACUCCGUGCCAGCAGCCGCGGUAAUACGGAGGAUGCGAGCGUUAUCCGGAUUUAUUGGGUUUAAAGGGUGCGAAGGCGGAUGUGCAAGUCAGUGGUCAAAUUGCGGGGCUCAACCCCGUAUUGCCGUUGAAACUGGCACCCUUGAGUGCGCGAGAGGUGUGCGGAAUUCGUGGUGUAGCGGUGAAAUGCAUAGAUAUCACGAAGAACUCCGAUUGCGAAGGCAGCUUACUGGCGCGCAACUGACGCUGAGGCACGAAAGCGUGGGUAUCAAACAGGAUUAGAUACCCCGGUAGUC
rnacentral:rRNA from 1 species